UUAGUGGGGCCUGCCGCUGACGGCAACUGUGUCAGCAGCUACAGUGUCCCGUUCAUACAGAACCAAGUUCCAUGCCCUCCACAGAACAUCAGUAGUAACCUGACAUGUGGCUCCAAUAUCUUAACGGUCAGCUGGAUUUCUUCUGCUGUGGCCCUUAACUACCAUAUCACUGCUGUGCCACUGGCUGGAAACAUGGGUUCGCUAACCUGUGAAAGUAAUAGUACCAACUGUAGUCUGAGUGGCCUUCAGUGUGGACAGACUUACAAUGUUUCUUACAUAGCUUGCUCUGAGAACUGCAGUGGACCAAGUACCCCACUACAGACUGUUCAAGCAGGACCAUGUGCUCCCAC